rnacentral:rRNA from 1 species
AUUAUACCGUGAAACUGCGAAUGGCUCAUUAAAUCAGUUAUCGUUUAUUUGAUAGUACCUUACUACUUGGAUAACCGUGGUAAUUCUAGAGCUAAUACAUGCUAAAAACCCCAACUUCGGGAGGGGUGUAUUUAUUAGAUAAAAAACCAAUGCCCUUCGGGGCUCUUUGGUGAUUCAUGAUAACUUAACGGAUCGCAUGGCCUUGCGCCGGCGACGGUUCAUUCAAAUUUCUGCCCUAUCAACUUUCGAUGGUAAGGUAUUGGCUUACCAUGGUUUCAACGGGUAACGGGGAAUUAGGGUUCGAUUCCGGAGAGGGAGCCUGAGAAACGGCUACCACAUCCAAGGAAGGCAGCAGGCGCGCAAAUUACCCAAUCCCGACACGGGGAGGUAGUGACAAUAAAUACUGAUACAGGGCUCUUUUGGGUCUUGUAAUUGGAAUGAGUACAAUUUAAACCCCUUAACGAGGAACAAUUGGAGGGCAAGUCUGGUGCCAGCAGCCGCGGUAAUUCCAGCUCCAAUAGCGUAUAUUAAAGUUGUUGCAGUUAAAAAGCUCGUAGUUGAAACUUGGGCCUGGCUGUCUGGUCCGCCUCACCGCGUGUACUGGUUCGGCCGGGCCUUUCCUUCUGGAGAGCCUCAUGCCCUUCACUGGGUGUGUUGGGGAACCAGGACUUUUACUUUGAAAAAAUUAGAGUGUUCAAAGCAGGCCUUUGCUCGAAUACGUUAGCAUGGAAUAAUAGAAUAGGACGUGCGAUCCUAUUUUGUUGGUUUCUAGGACCGCCGUAAUGAUUAAUAGGGAUAGUCGGGGGCAUCAGUAUUCAAUUGUCAGAGGUGAAAUUCUUGGAUUUAUUGAAGACUAACUACUGCGAAAGCAUUUGCC